rnacentral:snRNA from 1 species
GGGCUCGCUUUGGCAGCAUGUGUUCUAAAAUGGGGAGGGUACAGAAGGUUAGCAUGACCCCUGCGCAAGGAUGACACGCAAAUUCAUGGAGCGGACCAUUUUUUU